ensembl:lncRNA
CCAAGCCCCGUGCAGCCAGAGUGCCGGGCCCUGCCCGUGAAGGAGCUGGAAGACAUGCAGUGUUGACCCUGCCCCCCACCAGAGCUGCCGUGGCAUUAGAGAGGUCACAGGCCCCCCGGGGGAGGGGGGAGUCCUAUGGGGACUGUGGCUGCCGUUCACCGCGCUGCCCGCACAGUGUGAUUCCUAGGCUGGCAUAGGUCAGUGCAUUUGGUCCAAGGCUGAAGUUGGUAUCUCUCCGGUGUGAUGAUAGCCGUCCCAGCAGGAAUUUCAGAACUUGGCAUAAGAACUCGGUCCUUGAGAUCCGGCAAAUUGUGAUUUGGCUUCUAGAGUUAGAAUUGGUCAGUGUACUCGGAAAAACAUAUUUGGAAAUCGCAAAAGCUCCUCUCUCAGAAGGUUUGGCUGCCAGAGCCACGUCCUCGACAGACGGGCAGAGGACGGCCCCCUCUCUGCCCCGCCUCCAGGCACUGCUUGGUGCUCCCCGGUCCCGCGUCAGGGACGCUCUCCCGGCCUCUGCUCCGAGCGGGCUCCCAGCGGCCACUCCUGUCGGGGCUGCCGGCUGCUGCAGCGGGCUCCCAGCUGUCACUCAGUGUGCCUGGAGCCCUGCCCAGUGCCAGACGUGACGCUCGGGCAGGCCCAGCGCUGGGCGCCAGGUCCUCUGCUGGAACAGACCAUCACACAACACAGCCACAAGGACGCUGCCCGUUCUCAGCGCUCAGAGAAACCUUUGCCCCAGCUGCGUUUCAGGUGCCAACUUUGUUUUCUUCCGAGCAAGGUCAUGUUCCCUAUAUUACGAGCGACCCCAACACAUUCGGAUUUCCUUGGCAAUACGCACAGGCGUAGACCUAGCGGGCGGGAUAAGGCGUGAGCGCCCCCGAGGCCAGCCCCGGCAGGCUUUGGAGAGCUCCGUGGUUUCCAGAGUUUGGGGGCCGUUGCGAUUGUGGAGAACGGGCGAGCUCUGGACAGGCGCGGGCCCAGGCACCCUGGGUGAAUCUGCCACCUGCUGUUCCAGCUUCCCAGAAGACAUCUAGGCAGGGAGAGGGACGCAGCUCACUGCCCAGCGAGAGUGUCUGGGGGAGGAGGGUGCGUGAGCCGAGAUCCUCGCCACACCGUGGAAGGUUCCAGUGCAGGCGAGGCAGAGGAGGAGGCACCUCCACGGAGACCACCAGCGGGCCGGGGAGGUGACAGUGGGGAAGGGACGGGGGUCUCCAGCACUGAAGGAGGGAGGAGAGCAAGGCGGGGCGGGGACUAGAGAGCUCCCGGUGGGGCUGGGGGUGGGCUGGGUUGCAGGUUCUUUCUGGCCCUUAUACAAUCCCACCGCGGCAGGAGGCCGUGUCCCACCGUCCUCUGGACUGGAAAGAGAGGAGACCGAGGGGUGCGCCUGUUUCCCCAACAUACAGGAUUCCGAGUCUGUGGCGCCAGCUGAGCUCCACUCCGGGGGCGGUCAGGCAGUGGUCUCACAGGGCGGGAGGGACUGCUGAUCUCCCACCGGGGGCGCCUCCCUGCCCAGGGCCACCUCCUCCCUCGCCGGCCGGCUUUUCCGAGCCCGCAAACCCGCAGUGCGAGCUGCCUCUCUCCCCGAGACGAGGCCCUGCCUGACAGAUGAAAUCUUUAUUAUGAUGAGUUUUAUGUGCGUGUAUGAGUGCGUGCGCGCGCGCGCGUGUGUGUGUGCGUGUGUGCGUGUGUGUGUGUGUGUACGUGAGUGCGUGCACAUCUGGGGCCCAGGAGGCAGCCGAAAUCCCCGCAAACGUGGCUCAUGAAUAUUCCACGGCGGUGCCUGCCACAUUUUGCAGUCAUCGAUUAUUUAUAAGCGAAAUAACGAAAGCGUCAUAAAUAAUGGAGGUGCCUGCAUCCCCGCCCGUCCUCCGCGCGGCUCGCGCCUGGCCCAGGUGAGGCGGUGAGCUCUCCAUGCCAGAGUGCCCGCCUGGGACGCGCGCUGUGGCGCAGCGGGUUAAACUGCCCCUUGCAAUGGCUGCUAGCCCAUAUCGAAGUGCUGGUUCGAGUCCCAGCUGCUCUGCGAAGCUGAUCCUACUCCCUGCGCAUGCGCCUGGGAGGCAGCAGAGCAUGGCCCAGGUCCCUGGACCCCUGCCGCCCACACGGAUGGAGUCCCUGGUCCCUGGCUUUGGCCUGGCCCAGAUCUGGCUCUUGUGGCCAUUUGGGGAGUGAACCAACGCAUGGAUGAUUUCUCUUUCUAGUUCCUGACCUUUCAAUAAAAUAAAUAAAUCUUUUAAAAAAAAUCA